GACGAACGCUGGCGGCGUGCUUAACACAUGCAAGUCGAACGGAAAGGCCCUGCUUUUGUGGGGUGCUCGAGUGGCGAACGGGUGAGUAACACGUGAGUAACCUGCCCUUGACUUUGGGAUAACUUCAGGACACUGGGGCUCAUACCGGAUAGGAGCUCCUGCUGCUUGGUGGGGGUUGGAAAGUUUCGGCGGUUGGGGAUGGACUCGCGGCUUAUCAGCUUGUUGGGUUGGUAGUGGCUUACCAAGGCUUUGCCGGGUAGCCGGCCUGGGAGGGUGACCGGCCACAUUGGGACUGAGCUACGGCCCAGACUCCUACGGGAGGCGGCAGAGGGGAAUAGUGCACAAUGGGCGGAAGCCUGAUGCAGCAACGCCGCGUGCGGGAUGACGGCCUUCGGUUUGUAAACCGCUUUCGCCUGUGACGAAGCGUGAGUGACGGUAAUGGGUAAAGAAGCACCGGCUAACUACGUG
rnacentral:rRNA from 1 species